UACAGAGGGCUCAAGCGUUGUUCGGAUUCAUUGGGCGUAAAGGGUGCGUAGGUGGCGCGAUAAGUCGGGUGUGAAAUCUCGGAGCUUAACUCCGAAAUUGCAUUCGAUACUGCCGUGCUCGAGGACUGGAGAGGAGACUGGAAUUCAUGGUGUAGCAGUGAAAUGCGUAGAGAUCAUGAGGAAGACCAGUGGCGAAGGCGGGUCUCUGGACAGUUCCUGACACUGAGGCACGAAGGCCAGGGGAGCAAACGGG
rnacentral:rRNA from 1 species